GACGAACGCUGGCGGCGUGCUUAACACAUGCAAGUCGAACGGAAAGGCCCUGCUUUUGUGGGGUGCUCGAGUGGCGAACGGGUGAGUAACACGUGAGUAACCUGCCCUUGACUUUGGGAUAACUUCAGGAAACUGGGGCUAAUACCGGAUAGGAGCUCCUGCUGCAUGGUGGGGGUUGGAAAGUUUCGGCGGUUGGGGAUGGACUCGCGGCUUAUCAGCUUGUUGGUGGGGUAGUGGCUUACCAAGGCUUUGACGGGUAGCCGGCCUGAGAGGGUGACCGGCGACAUUGGGACUGAGAGACGGCCCAGACUCCUACGGGAGGCAGCAGUGGGGAAUAUUGCACAAUGGGCGGAAGCCUGAUGCAGCAACGCCGCGUGCGGGAUGACGGCCUUCGGGUUGUAAACCGCUUUGGCCUGUGACGAAGCGUGAGUGACGGUAAUGGGUAAAGAAGCACCGGCUAACUACGUG
rnacentral:rRNA from 1 species